rnacentral:tRNA from 1 species
GGAGGGUUGGCCGAGCGGUUUAUGGCGCGAGUCCCGAAAACUCGUGGGAGCAAUCCCUCAGAGGUUCGAAUCCUCUACCCUCCG